rnacentral:rRNA from 1 species
UACGGGGGGGGCAAGCGUUGUUCGGAAUUACUGGGCGUAAAGGGCUCGUAGGCGGCCAACUAAGUCGGAUGUGAAAUCCCCAGGCUCAACCUGGGAACUGCAUCCGAUACUGGAUGGCUUGAAUUCGGGAGAGGGAUGCAGAAUUCCAGGUGUAGCGGUGAAAUGCGCAGAUAUCAGGAGGAACACCGGUGGCGAAGGCGGAUCUCUGGGCCGAUACUGACGCUGAGGAGCGAAAGCGUGGGGAGCGAACAGG